UUGCAACUUGCACUUUUACGGUCUUGUAUGGAAGGAACUAUUCGAACUAGUCAUCACGAUAUAACGAGACUUUAAAGCAACGAGUAGCGACACUAAUUGAUAUAGUGACAUUCAUGGGCGCAUUCUACAUUUUCUGAUAGGAACUAAAGUCAAAGUAUACUUCUCACAUCGACUUGCUGUAAGUUAAAUCACAACGAAAAAGCUUUAAGUAACUGUCAAACGGCCUAUUUUAUGAAGCAAUAAUUAUUGCCCCACCCUGUAUAGACACGGGC